UCUACGUGUCGAAGACGCCCAGACGUGAAACUGGAUGUCUCUCGCAGUCAUACGGUAUAUAGAGUUCUAUGACUAGAGACACAUUCAGCUUGGCGGCUGGACGACAACCCUCACAAGUCA
rnacentral:precursor_RNA from 9 species